UGGGGAUAUUGGACAAUGGGCGAAAGCCUGAUCCAGCAAUGCCGCGUGAGUGAUGAAGGCCUUAGGGUUGUAAAGCUCUUUUACCCGGGAUGAUAAUGACAGUACCGGGAGAAUAAGCCCCGGCUAACUCCGUG
rnacentral:rRNA from 1 species